rnacentral:rRNA from 1 species
UCGGGAAUUUUGGGCAAUGGGCGAAAGCCUGACCCAGCAACGCCGCGUGAGGGAUGAAGGCCUUCGGGUCGUAAACCUCUGUCGGGAGGGAAGAAUGUCGUACGGGCGAAUAGUCCGUACGGUUGACGGUACCUCCAAAGGAAGCACCGGCUAACUCCGUGCCAGCAGCCGCGGUAAUACGGAGGGUGCAAGCGUUGUUCGGAAUCAUUGGGCGUAAAGCGCGUGUAGGCGGCUUGGUUAGUCGGGUGUGAAAGCCCGGGGCUCAACCCCGGAACUGCACUCGAAACUGCCUCGCUAGAGUCUCGGAGAGGAAGGCGGAAUUCCCGGUGUAGAGGUGAAAUUCGUAGAUAUCGGGAGGAACACCAGCGGCGAAGGCGGCCUUCUGGACGAUGACUGACGCUGAGACGCGAAAGCGUGGGGAGCAAACAGG